rnacentral:rRNA from 1 species
GAUGAACGCUGGCGGCGUGCCUAAUACAUGCAAGUCGAGCAAAUGGAUUAAGAGCUUGCUCUUAUGAAGUUAGCGGCGGACGGGUGAGUAACACGUGGGUAACCUGCCCAUAAGACUGGGAUAACUCCGGGAAACCGGGGCUAAUACCGGAUAACAUUUUGAACCGCAUGGUUCGAAAUUGAAAGGCGGCUUCGGCUGUCACUUAUGGAUGGACCCGCGUCGCAUUAGCUAGUUGGUGAGGUAACGGCUCACCAAGGCAACGAUGCGUAGCCGACCUGAGAGGGUGAUCGGCCACACUGGGACUGAGACACGGCCCAGACUCCUACGGGAGGCAGCAGUAGGGAAUCUUCCGCAAUGGACGAAGGUCUGACGGAGCAACGCCGCGUGAGUGAUGAAGGCUUUCGGGUCGUAAAACUCUGUUGUUAGGGAAGAACAAGUGCUAGUUGAAUAAGCUGGCACCUUGACGGUACCUAACCAGAAAGCCACGGCUAACUACGUGCCAGCAGCCGCCGGUAA